CUCUCGCUGUCAGCUCUGUUCGUUUUUGUGUUGUUUGCGUCUAUUUUCGUCUCUGUCAGCUCACUGCUUGUGUAUGACCGCCAAACACUGUUGGAUCUUUGCUACUUUCCCACUGAUAUGAUCAACUUCGACGUUGGUUUUUCGUCGUCCCAGUCAGCUUUUUCACCUGGCCGGAUUCCUGCCUUCCUUUCCCGCCUCUUGGCUCUUCUCCCCCGCCACCUGCGGGCUGUGUGUCGGGCCCCACCUGUAUUAGCUGCGCCCUUGCACGUGCUGGCCCCGGCCAGGUUCGGUAUUGUGAACGCAAGAUCUUUGACACACAAAACGUUUAUCCUGAAGGAUUUCUUCACUUCCCGCAGGCGGCGGACUUGACUUCCUCUGUGUGACGGAAACAUGGCUGAGAGCCGGUGAGUCCGCCCCUCUUAAUGAACUUCUGCCUCCGGAGUGUUCCUACUUUAAUUCUCCGCGGCCGUCCGGUCGAAAAGGAGGAGGAUUAGCAGUCGUUUUUAAAAAGGACUUUAAAUGCCGUAAGAUCCGCCUGCAAUCCUCCCUUUCAAGCUUCGAACUGUGCAUGUUUGAGCUGGAGGGGGCCUGGCCUCCAGCUCCAGCUGAAUUUCGGGAGAUUUUCGGGAGAACAUUUCUUCCGCGAGGUUUUCGGGACAGGCGCUGAAUUUCAGAAGUCUCCCGGAAAAUCCAGGAGGGUUGGCAACCGGGUGUUGACGCGCAGUGUCUCGGGGAAGUCGACGGCAGCUGUACGGGAGGCCCAAGCUCAGCUGAUACCCGAACAUAUUUGUCUUUCAGUAUGUGCGGGUGCCAAAUUACUGCCCCAGCCACCCAGAGAACUCAACCCAAAACAGCAGGUGCGGUGCCCAGCAAACAAAGGACCACUGGCGCCACGCAGUGAGGCCGGGCAGCGUCAGCAUCGUGGUGCCACCCGG